UUUCCUCUGAUUCUUGCUUACUCCUUCUGGAGUCACAGCCAUGGAACAUGGGACUGAGGCAGAGAAUGGAAUAAACUUGAAAAAUGAGGAGGGGUGAAUCCAGUUGACUGCAGGGCUUCUGGCUUCCCGGCAGGGACAUUCAAGUUUGGAGCCAGAGCUGACUUGGGAUGACAGAACAGGCCUUCUCAGCUCUGCAGCAGGGAUGUCCGAUAGAGACCAGACAGCUCCUACAAGUUUGCUGAAAAGAUAACUGAAGGAAGAUGAGGUAUAUGAACUCAUGCAACUUGGACCAUGUACUCCCAGCAGGGGCUUCAAUCAGGGCUUCCAAGAGUGAUAGGAAGUGAUAUCUCAACUCUCCUUUCUCAGGUAGGAACAGAAAAUGUUUAUCAGGUUUAGAUGUAAAGUUACUCACAGUUAACCUUUCUCCUAGGUCAUUCAUAUCACCCAGCGCCCCUGAUGUAUGGGUGGGACCCUUCUCUUACCCUUUCCUCCUUAUCUUAUCAGCUGCCCCUGUGGUAACACUGGCUUUUCUCCUCUUAGAGAUAAAUUCUUCCUUCUUUUGAAACACCUCCCUAUUCAUACAAUUCCUAUGAAUUCUUUAUAUGAAUACUUUCCUCAGGUUUUUUCAAGGAUAACAACCAAAUAAUUUUCAACCCCAGCACAAUCACCAACCCAUCUUUUCAGCAAUUAAACAAAUAUAUAUCUGUAUCUUUGACACUCAUCUAUAUUAAAUUACUUGCUGUCUUGACAACUGUCUGGAGAUCUGGACCCACAUCCAUUCGCCCCAAGUCAAGUGCUGUCCUGUAAGUAGAUAAUCUAAAAAUAGUUACUAAAAUAUUUAACGGCUAUCAUAUUAAAAACAUCUUGUCAUUUCAUUCAA
rnacentral:lncRNA from 1 species